rnacentral:lncRNA from 10 species
AAGUAAAAGUUAUAUGUAAGAAGAGGAAUUUAUGUAUUUUAUGUCAUUUUGCAGGUAGGACUAACAUCAUUUGACAACCAAAUAAGUAGAGAGAGAGGCAAGUAUAGAAGAAGAAAUUGAUGAUGUAGAACAAAGAAGAUAGUUUCAAAUGGAAAGUCUGGUUGGCAAUCUGGGAUGGGAUCCUGAGCACCAAGAGAGAACAAGACCUUUUUUAGGGAAUAGACAUUUCUUCCUUUCCAGAGGAGGGAAGCUG